rnacentral:lncRNA from 1 species
CGGUGACGGAGCUUGGUAUGGGCUGAGGUGGGCCACGGCCCACCCUCCCAAAAACAAAACAAUUUUUUCUUUCUUUUUGAAAAUACUAAAACACCCCUUGUAUAAAAGAAAAAUCCAAAAUGGCCCACCCUCUCCACUAGUCGAGCAUGGUCCUUCCUUCCCUCAGGCUCUUCUAACAUGGUGUUUCAUGCAAUUUUCAAUUUCAACUUCAUCUCUUUUUAUUGUCUUUUCCUGUUCCGCUUCCAAUUCACCCAAUCGACGUUUCCAUAACCGAGUUGAAAGCCCUCAUCGCAGUCUCUCUCACUCUCACACUCCUUAUCUCAGUUUUUUCACUUCCAAUUUGAAAGUUUAUUUACCGUAUCUUGUUGUUUUGAAUUGAUAGGUGUUUUGUUGUUUUAUGUGUUUUGUUUUGUUGUUUUUUCACUCCUUACCCCCAGUGGUUUUGACCGCCUACCUGUCUGUAUGGAUGGGUAGACGAAGUGCAGGAUUAGUUGCUUUGGUGAGUUGCUUGGAUAGCGGGAGCAAUCUCUGUUAUCGGUUCCGUAGAGUCGUAGGAUAGGCUCUGAUCUAGGAUUUUGUCUUACGAUUUAUUAUAGAUUGUCUAUCCUGGAUUUAUUUAUGUUUUGGAGGAUUUUAUGUUGAUGUAUUUGAUCUCAUGACAUGUAUAAUUUUGAGGUGUAUGGUUUAUAUCCGCUGCGACUGUUGAG